rnacentral:rRNA from 2 species
ACUUUACAAUGCGGGCAACCGUGAUAAGGGAACCUCGAGUGCCUGUACAUGCAGGCUGUCUGGGUGUCUAAAACACACCCAAAGAAAGGGCCGGGCAAGACCGGUGCCAGCCGCCGCGGUAAUACCGGCGGCUCGAGUGGUGGCCACUUUUAUUGGGCUUAAAGCGUUCGUAGCUGGGUUGUUAAGUCUCUUGGGAAAUCUGGCAGCUUAACUGUCAGGCGUCUAAGAGAUACUGGCAAUCUAGGAACCGGGAGAGGUGAGGGGUACUUCGGGGGUAGGAGUGAAAUCCUGUAAUCCUCGAGGGACCACCUGUGGCGAAGGCGCCUCACCAGAACGGCUUCGACAGUGAGGGACGAAAGCUGGGGGAGCAAACCGGA